rfam:Gossypium raimondii chromosome 7, whole genome shotgun sequence.
GCCCCUAUCGUCUAGCGGUUCAAGACACCUCUCUUUCAAGGAGGCAGCGGGAAUUCGACUUCCCCUGGGAGUA